rnacentral:lncRNA from 1 species
UCCAAAAGUGAAAAGUGCCUAUUUUGGAAGCAUACCACAAGAAAGGGAUCAGAAAGUAAUCUCUGGUUUAUAUUUUAUCAAUUUAUUCAUUGUAAAUUUCAAUUAAUUAAUUGUGAUGGCUCAAGGUUUCUUGCAUUUCUAAAAGUUUUUUAGAUAUGGCCAAUUUUUUAAGCAAUCGACUUUCGGGGACUAAAAUGAAAUUUUUCAAAAGAAGUGAUUUUGAAAUUAUUCUUUAUCAAAAUAAAAAAUCUAAAAAUAUAGGUUACAAA